CAUCGCAUAGGCCGUACUGGGCGUGUUGG
rnacentral:piRNA from 1 species